GAUGAAGAACGUAGCAAAAUGCGAUAAGUAAUGUGAAUUGCAGAAUUCAGUGAAUCAUCGAAUCUUUGAACGCACAUUGCGCCCGCCAGUAUUCUGGCGGGCAUGCCUGUUCGAGCGUCAUUUCAACCCUCAAGCACAGCUUGGUGUUGGGACUCGCGUUAAUUCGCGUUCCCCAAAUUGAUUGGCGGUCACGUCGAGCUUCCAUAGCGUAGUAGUAAAACCCUCGUUACUGGUAAUCGUCGCGGCCACGCCGUUAAACCCCAACUUCUGAAUGUUGACCUCGGAUCAUGUAGGAAUACCCGCUGAACUUAAGCAUAUCAAUAAGCGGAGGA
rnacentral:misc_RNA from 1 species